rnacentral:rRNA from 1 species
CGGGUGAGUAAUACAUCGGAACGUGUCUUCUAGUGGGGGAUAACUGCCCAAAAGGGCAGCUAAUACCGCAUGAGACCUGAGGGUGAAAGCGGGGGAUCGCAAGACCUCGCGCUGGAAGAGCGGCCGAUGUCCGAUUAGCUAGUUGGUGAGGUAAAGGCUCACCAAGGCGACGAUCGGUAGCUGGUCUGAGAGGACGACCAGCCACACUGGGACUGAGACACGGCCCAG